rnacentral:rRNA from 1 species
AUUGAACGCUGGCGGCAUGCCUUACACAUGCAAGUCGAACGGCAGCGCGGGAGCAAUCCUGGUGGCGAGUGGCGAACGGGUGAGUAAAGUAUCGGAACGUGCCCAGUCGUGGGGGAUAACGUAGCGAAAGUUACGCUAAUACCGCAUACGAUCUAUGGAUGAAAGCGGGGGAUCGCAAGACCUCGCGCGAUUGGAGCGGCCGAUAUCAGAUUAGGUAGUUGGUGGGGUAAAGGCUCACCAAGCCGACGAUCUGUAGCUGGUCUGAGAGGACGACCAGCCACACUGGGACUGGGACACGGCCCAGACGCCUACGGGAGGCAGCAGUGGGGAAUUUUGGACAAUGGGCGAGAGCCUGAUCCAGCCAUGCCGCGUGCAGGAUGAAGGCCUUCGGGUUGUAAACUGCUUUUGUACGGAACGAAAAGGUUUGGCCUAAUAAGCUGAGCUCAUGACGGUACCGUAAGAAUAAGCACCGGCUAACUACGUGCCAGCCGCCGCCGUAA